UACGGAAGGUCCGGGCGUUAUCCGGAUUUAUUGGGUUUAAAGGGAGCGUAGGCCGGAGAUUAAGCGUGUUGUGAAAUGUAGACGCUCAACGUCUGCACUGCAGCGCGAACUGGUUUCCUUGAGUACGCACAAAGUGGGCGGAAUUCGUGGUGUAGCGGUGAAAUGCUUAGAUAUCACGAAGAACUCCGAUUGCGAAGGCAGCUCACUGGAGCGCAACUGACGCUGAAGCUCGAAAGUGCGGGUAUCGAACAGGAGUAGAUACCCUUGUAGUCCGGGACU
rnacentral:rRNA from 1 species